CCUACGGGUGGCUGCAGUGGGGAAUAUUGCACAAUGGGGGAAACCCUGAUGCAGCGACGCCGCGUGAGUGAAGAAGUAUUUCGGUAUGUAAAGCUCUAUCAGCAGGGAAGAAAAUGACGGUACCUGAUUAAGAAGCCCCGGCUAACUACGUGCCAGCAGCCGCAGUAAUACGGAGGGGGCAGGCGUUAUCCGGAUUUACUGGGUGUAAAGGGAGCGUAGACGGCAGGUCAAGACUGGAGUGAAAUGCCCGGGCUCAACCCGGGCAUUGAUUUGCAAACUGUGCUGCUAGAGUGCAGGAGAGGAAGGGGGAAUUCGUGGUGUAGCGGUGAAAGGCUUAGAGAUGAGGAAGAACCCCGAGUGCGAAGGCAGCUUGCUGCAGAGGAACUGACGUGGAGGCUCGAAAGCGGGGGUAGCGAACAGGAUUAGAUACCCUGGUAGUC
rnacentral:rRNA from 1 species